GACCGCGGGAGAGACCGCCGCAGGCGGCGCCGAAGGGGAUGCAGAAACUCUCAGGCAAAAGGACCGGGCC
rnacentral:ncRNA from 1 species